AUGAGAAUUUAGGCAAGGGUUUCAUUAGUUUCAGUUCGUAAAGGAGGAUUCAAUCUUCUGUGCCUCUCUCAUUCCAGCGGGAUCAUGAAACUUUGUGAAUGGUAAUUCAUCUCAUCUCCCUUCUUCUCUAUCGACAGUUGUCUCAAUUGAAAUUCUGAUCUUCAUUUAAUUGAUGAUUUUCAUCGGAGGUUCUACCCCUUGAUUUUGGUGGGAACACGAAACUUUGUGAAUCGCAAUUUACCUUCUUGUAAACUUUAUGUGGCGGCUAUGUGCGUUUCUGAUUAUCAAGUCUUCUAUAAUCACUUCAUUCAGGGAAGUUGGAGCUUUAUUCUUUUAUUAUCUUUCCAUUGAUUCUCAGUUCUGUUUAUAUGAAUCUAGGGUUUCAUGAGUUUCAAUUCGUAAACGAAAUGAGGAUUCAAUCUUCUGUCCUCUUUCGUUCCUGCAGGAUCAUGAAACUUGUCAUUAUUGUAUGAUUAACGGUUAUUCAUCUCCUUUCUUUUCCACCGAUAGUUUGCUUUCUCAAUUCAACCCCUUGGUUUGUGGGUUCUUUUAGAAUGCAUGUCUUUACUUAUGUAAAAUUAGGGUUUCAAGAAUUGCAAUCUGGAAAGGAGAUUUCAAUCCUCUGCCAUCUCUUAGUAUUGUCGGAUCAUGAAAUUUUACGAGUUUAAUGUGACUAAUAGUCCUUCUCUCCACUCAUAAUUUGUUUUCUGGAUAUUAAAUACUUACAUGAAGUUGGGAAAUAUGUUGACGAGGCCAUGUUUCUAGGUUCUUUUAGAAAGUACUUGCGGCAUAUUUCAAAACUCAUCUUGUUCCGGAUGUAUCAGAAAGUCAAAACCACAGAUUGAUUUGUCAUUACUGGUUUCUAUUUGAUUAGUGAUCCAUCUGUCCCAUUUCGGUAUUUGGAUGUAUCAAAAAGUCAAAACCACAGAUUGAUUUGUCAUUACUGGUUUCUAUUUGAUUAGUGAUCCAUCUGUCCCAUUUCGGUAUUUGAAUAUCAAAUUCUGAUGAUGUAGGGGACGUUGGUAACAUAAGAUGGCUAGGAUGGUGUUCAACCAUAUUUCAAGAUUAUGAAAUGGGUAGCCCCUACCUUUUUUGAUAAGUUUUCAUCAAUCUUCGGCGGAGUCCCUUCCCUGUACGGUUUUUUUGCCUCCGUUAAUUCUGAAAUCUGAUGGUUGGUGAAGUGGAAAUCAUAAACUUGUGGUUUUAUACUCUAAGAACAAUCUUUCAGUUGCCCUUCUGCCCUUUCAAUGACCCUUUUAUCCAUAGGGUUCUAGAUGGGAACAUAUACAAGGUCAGUAAGCUGGUUUGCAAGAAAUUUGCUAUGAAACAGUCUUUCGAUUGCCCUUCUGCCCUUUGGACGAGCACUUUGUCUAUAGGGUCCUAGAUGGGGACCUAUUCAAAGUCCUAAAUCUGGUUUCCCGUGAAUUAUUUAUUUAUUAAAUUUUAGGUUAUCUAUGUUCCUAAUCAGAGGAUGUACAUAAUGUAACAUCUUGUCCUACCUUUGUUCACAACUAAACCAAGAGCUAUGCUGGAAAUCCCGUUAGUACUCUCUCCCUAGCAUCACUUGUAUUCCAGUACUCUCUCCCAAGUUUGGUUGUCCUUUUGCUCCAUUGGGUCCUAGAAGGAAACCAUAUAUAUGUCCUUAAAGAGUUAUCUUAUCUUGCUUCAAAUAUUUGAACUGGUUCCUCUUGUCAGCAAUCCUCUGAAUACCAUGUCAGUAAUUCUAGAAUAUAAUAUGGCUAACCGUUGGUUUGAAAUUGUGCGGCUAACUGAAUUUUGGGUUCUUUAACACUUUUGGACGUAUACUUUGGAGCUUAUAUAUUUACAAUCAUUGGACUGCAUGUUGGUUUCUGAUAUGCAAGUUGGUGUCAAAUUGAUGGCACUGUUGUUUAUGCUGGUGCCUUAAUUCCCUUAUAAAAAGGGUUUGAGUUAUAAGUCAGUGUGUGAAAAAAAAAACUUUAUUGUUAAGAAUGACAGAAUCACUUAAUUUGAAGGAAGUAGACCCGAAAUGCAUCUCUCAGGCUUCCUGGAACCAGAGGUGUUAACUUGUGUCAGUCAUGUAUAACUGGAUACAUAUUUCCUCAGACUUUUCUUUUAGACCAUUUACUAUUGCCUCAUGUGGAACGUUGAAUGUUUCUUCUAUAUCUUGUUUUUCGAAAUUUCAAUCAUUACACUGGUUUGUAUCAAUCAUCUAUUUGAUUCACGGGAAUGCUAUAGAAGAACCCUUAUAUAAGGCCUGUCUUGUAUGCUUUUGCUAUGGAAAAAUCGGUGUCCCUUGUUGCAACUCGAGUCUUUUUUUCUGUUGGGAGUGAUUAUAUUUACAGAUUCGUGUUGCUUUAUCCUGUAAAGUGAAGGUCCUAAAAUGGAGUCCUAGAAGCGAACACUGGAAUGCCUGACACUUCAAAAAAUACAUCGUUGGCAUGUCCGUGAAGGAACUCAUAUAGUCAUUCCAGUUGCCCUUCUGCUCUACCUCGAAGACAUAUAUCAACCAUGAGGGUUAUUUUAGAAAGAUUCUAAAGUGUCCUAAAAUGGAGUCCUAGAGGGGAACACUGGAAUGGCUGACAUUAGUUGCAAAUACAUCGUCGGCAUUUGUAUAAGGAUACUCAUAUAGUCAUUCAGUUGCCUUUCUGCUCCACCUCACGGAAAUACAUCAACCAUGUGGGUUAUGCUAGUAAGCUGCUGGUCUUAACGUCCUUAACGUCAUGUUGCCUUCGAUAUGAUCAUAUUUACAGAUUUGUGUUGCUUUAUCCUGUAAACUGAAGGUCCUAAAAUGGAGUCCUAUAAGGGAACACUGGAAUGACUGACACUUCGAAAAAUACAUCGUUGGCAUGUUCGUGAAGGAACGCAUAUAGUCAUUCCAGUUGCCCUUGUGCUCCUCCUCAAGGAAAUACAUCAACCAUGUGGGUUAUGCUAGUAAGCUGCUGGUCUUAACGUCCCUUUGCCUUCGAUAUGAUCAUAUUUACAGAUUUGUGUUGCUUUAUCCUGUAAAGUGAAGGUCCUAAAAUGGAGUCCUAGAAGGGAACACUGGAAUGGCUGACACUUCGAAAAAUACAUCGUUGGCAUGUCCGUGAAGGAACUCAUAUAGUCAUUCCAGUUGCCCUUCUACUCCACCUCGAAGACAUAUAUCAACCAUGAGGGUUAUUUUAGAAAGCUUCUAAAGUGGAAGUCCUAAAAUGGAGAG
rnacentral:lncRNA from 1 species